GGGUUUACCUUUUGUUCUACUUCUUUUUCCCCAUCGAUUCCCACUAUUAACAGAUUCUUUCUUGCAGAUUUGCUCAUUUACAUUUAAAUCAAAAUGCACUGAAGUAUUAUAUUGCUGAAUGAUCUUUUCCCUAAACUGUUUCAAAGUCCCUUCGAUAUGCUUGUAUGGUAAAAAAAAACUUUAUUUUGCUUUAAAUUACUGGUAAAUCUACAUUUUAAGUAAAUAUGGGAUUUUUUAAACAUAUUUUUCAUUGUAAUGCUUUAGAAGGAAAACAAAAGUUAAAGAACAAAACCAGCUCAGUAGACAAGCUGGGUAAUGCACGUGCUCUCCUGGGGUAUGACUUGGGAUUGAGUCUUGCCACGGGUGUUUGGCGAGGGAGUAACGGCCAAACUAAUACCUUUUUAGUUCGCCCCCUUCUCCUUUGUGAUUUUUUAGUUUCUACCAAUUAGGCCAACCCACCAUGGUAUGCCAAAAUGGUUACGUAACGGUAACAGUUGUAACUGUUACAUAUUAAUGGGGAUGAAAUAACCAUAACGGCUGUUCCAGAAAAAAUGGCUAUAAUGGGUCUGAAACAGUUUUUUUUUUUUUUCAAAAAAAAAAAGAGAGAAGAAGGCCAUAACAUAACAGUAACAGCUAUGGCCAUCGUUGCCGUUAUGGAAUACCUUGCAACUGCAGUGCACUGGUCAGCAAACUAUUUCCUAGGUUGAUAUGGAUUCUACAAUAUGGGGAUGUAUUUAUUUAUUUAUGUUUUUGUAAAUUAAAGUUAAUAACUUGCACGAGACUGAACAUUGGCUUUAUUUAUUGGGGAAACUGUCUUACACAAAAGUGGGGCUACAUGUGUGUCCUCCUCGUCUACCCCAUGAAAUGUGAAUAUAGUUUCUUAUGGAGUUAUUUGUUUGCUAGUGCUAUCUACUGUGAGGUUCUGAAAGUUGGCCUUUAUCUGUUGAAUAUUGGCCAUUGUAGCAUUAACAGUGAGUGCUGUAAUUGAACUAAAGAAGAGGUGCUAGUCCUUGUGACCAUCUUCAACACUGAGGUCUUGGUAUCGAUUCCCUAGUGGGGGUGGCUAACAGUGAUGUGUGAACUGACAGUGGGGUGUACUAACAAGCUAACAAAAAAAAAGUCCUUGUGAUCAUCAAGGCCAUUAUGUUCUGUUGUAAGAGCUGUGGCCUAUUGAGCAAUCAAGUCGAGAAUUUACUGUACAUAUAUAAUUAAUAAGGAAAGAUUGUGUAAUAAUAUACAGCUUGCAAUUAGAUUUGGUAAACACGCGGCUCUAACUUCAAUAUAGAUGGUGGGAAUCCUAUGACACAAAUUAGAAUGAGAUUUCAGAUCCCAUUUUGAAAUGUGUGCUGGAUUUCUGCCCACUGUCUUGGGACAGUGGUAGAUAUGCGUGGACUUACUCACUGAAGUUGGUGCAUGAUUAAGUUUUUUAAAGACUGGGUUUAGUUGCAUGCACUGGUCAUGUAUGAGUUAAUUAGGCAUUUAUAAGAGGAGGUUCUAUGGUGUAUUUUUGCAGAUGAUAUAAUUUUGAUUGACGAGAAAAGGGAGGGGGUAACCCAAAGCUAGAAUUAUGGAGUGAUGCUUUUGAAUCUAAAGGUUUUAAAUUACUGGAAAAAAAAAAGAGUAUAUGAAAUGCAAAUUUAGUAAGUGUUGGUUAUUCAUGAGAACAAAGAGAGUGAGAACCAUGUUGCUCUUCGAGUUAGUGCUGGGUGGAUGAAGCGGGGAUGCACCUAUCGAGUUUUAUUUGAAUGCUGCAUACCAAAUUGAAGGGGAGAUUUUAUAAGACAUAAGACCAACCAUGCUUUACGGCUGGAAUGUUGGGCAGUCAAAGAAUAAUACGUUCACGGAAUAAUAAAUGAGGCGGUUGAGAUGGAUGAGUGGCAAGACGAGGGAGGAUUGAAUUAGAAAUGAAUUCAUUCGAGGGGAACUUAGAAGUAGCCCCAGUAGGUAAUGAGAUGAGGGAAAGUAAGCUUAGAUGGUUUGGCCAUAUGUAUUUGAGACCAAGAACUGCACUGGUGAGUAGGAGUGAGUAGGUUCAAGUUGAAGGCAUGGCAGGGAGAGCCUAAAAGGACAUGGGUGGAGGUAGUAAGAAAAGAUUUGAUGACCUAUGACUUUUCCAAGGAUAUCUUGGACAGAUUGGAGUAGUGGAAUGGGAUUCAUGUAGCCGAUCUCAAUUAGUUGGGAUGAGCUUUGAUGAUGAUGAUGGUUGGGUUUAGUUGCAUGUAAUGGGAGUAGACAAGGUGAACUGGAUUCAGGAGUUGUAGAUUGGGGCCCAAAAUUUGGUUGAAUGUAGUGGGUUUAAUCUUGUGGUAUGUGGAGCCCGAAAUUUAAAAUAUGUUUACCUUUACCAAAACUAAGAAAAAUUAAUAUGUCCAUGUUGUUACGAUAAUUGAAGACUUUUAACAAUAAUCAUAAUCAUCUUAGCCUUCUUCAACCCUUAGCAAUAUAAUAUUGGUGGAAGUAAAGGUGGACUCGGAGUCAUGGUAGUGUCAACUAGUGUUGGACUUGGAAGGGGUCUUGAAGGAGGAUUGGCAUUCUUGUUGGAGUCUUGCUAUAAAUGAUGGGGGUUCAGUUAUGAAUCUUAUGAUACCACACCAUCUCCAUUAGUUGUCAACUAUUUUGAGCGAUCGACUGAUAAAUAUAGGUUGUUUCUUUCUGGAAUUGUUAUCUGCAUUCUUUGACUGAUAAAUACACGCUUCCUUUCCUUUGUUAUACAACAGUACGAUUUUUUUUAAAGAUAACUGCAAAAUUUUUCGAAUAAGAAGAAAAUCACAUCAAAUGGAAUUUGAAUUCUGCCACGAGUGGGAAGGAUUGAUCCUCCUCUAGGUAGACAAUCUGCUAGAAAAUUCGCCUCUCUGCCAACGUGGUGUUUCUUCAUCAACAAAACAAAAGAUGUUUAUCGCAUGUGGAUAAUAAUUCCACUAUAAAGUUGCAUGCUGUUGUGCCCAGAUGCGUCAAAAUAGUGAUGUGGAGGCAUGGCCUGCAUUGAGGUCGAGAAAGAUUUUCCAAAACUUGUUCAGAAUCGAAGUGGUUGGGAGGACCUAGUUUGCCGUUGAACUAUGUUUAACUCCAAAUCCUGAUGAGGUAACUGACUCUAAGCAGGAUAGUUAUUGAUGUAUGCCAUAUUCGUUGGCUGGAAAUACUAAAUACUUGUGAUAACAAAGGUGAGUAGUAUAUAAAUACAUGCAGCAUUAUAAUUGGGGUAGGGAAAUGUCAUUCUGUGUGUGUUUUCUUUUUUCAGAAGCUCUAUCCUAUAGUAAUACUUAAAUAUCUUUUAUGGAUUUGGAGUGGCUGGACUGAUAGUAUAAAGAAUAAGAGGAAUGAUCUGGGUUAUGUUCUGGAGUAAACAAGUGCUCCAAUUGCCCUCGCUUGAUUCCAAGAGUAGGGCUCACACUAACAAAAUAUUGUGUGGAAGGAGGGAGGGAGAGAUUCUUUCUUUGGCCCUUUGCAGAUACCCUUUGUAAGGAGAUCAUAGGUCUUCUUUGUAUAAUGGGCAAUCACUACCACUAUCUUGUACUUUCCCACUCAGCUUUAAUAGAAUUGCUAUGUGUAAAAAAGUAAAUUAGACAGGGAACCUGCUUGUGUUGCUAAAUAAUUGCAUUCUUGACCAUCAUUCAUUCACUCUGUAUUAGUUCGUCGUAUACUUGGACUUGAAAUUUAUGGUACUCAAUCUGGUU